rnacentral:rRNA from 1 species
CCUACGGGAGGCAGCAGUGGGGAAUAUUGCACAAUGGGGGAAACCCUGAUGCAGCGACGCCGCGUGAGUGAAGAAGUAUUUCGGUAUGUAAAGCUCUAUCAGCAGGGAAGAAAAUGACGGUCCCUGAUUAAGCAGCCACGGCUAACUACGUGCCAGCAGCCGCGGUAAUACGUAGGGGGCAAGCGUUAUCCGGAUUGACGGGGUGUAAAGGGGGCGUAGACGGCAGGACAAGUCUGGAGUGAAAUGCCGGGGCUUAACCCCGGAACUGCUUUGGAAACUGUGCAGCUAGAGUGUAGGGGAGGUAAGUGGAAUUCCUAGUGUAGCGGUGAAAUGCGUAGAUAUUAGGAGGAACACCAGUGGCGAAGGCGGCUUACUGGACUGUAACUGACGUUGAGGCUCGAAAGCGUGGGGAGCAAACAGGAUUAGAUACCCUAGUAGUC